GGGGUCCAGCAUCUCAGUGAGGCAAGGGCAGAGCGUAGCACAAAUGGCUCCAAGACCGUGGCUCAGUUCUGCCUGCACCUCUGCCCUUUGGGUGACCUUGGGCCUCUCCAAACAGCCGUUUCAUCAUGUGGGAAGUGCGUUCAACCGCGCGAAUGCGUAAUUCACAGGGAUGCGGAGAAGCUCCAGGGAGAGAGUGAGUGGGUGAGUUCUUCAUAAGCUGCAAAACCUCUACAACUGCUUGUUCUCGCUACUGCCCUAAGAUCCAGAACAGCGAGUUCCCCACAGCAAUUAUGUUUCUGGCGUUUUGCUCCGGCUGGAACGGUCCCCUCUCCCAGCCCUCUUAUGAAGAUCUAAUACAUGGGACAUGUGUGAUUAGCACUCUCGGCAAAGGGCAGCUGAGCAGGGAUUUCACGAUGAGGCUCGGCCUUGGUACAAACUUUACAUGAGUUGAAGUUCAUGAAAACCAACAUUUCCUGGUCUGCCGCCACGCCUGUCUAUGUCACCAAAUAUGUAUCAACCUUCCUUUUUGUCCCAGGCUUUGGUCAAGUAUUUGAAUCCAUCAGUGAGAAAAAAAUAUUUCCCUGCUCUUGGGGAGCUUGUAAGAGCAGAGAGACAACCCAAUAAAUAUAGAAAGAAGUUAGACCAUUUGAAGGUGGGAAGGAUUAGAGAAGAGAGAAAAAGUAGAUGAGAGCUAAAAGGAUGGGUGUAGAGGCUGCUGUGGGCAGGUUGGCCUGAUGGAAAGGUGGGAUUUGAGGAGUUCCCUUUGUGGCUUAGUGGGUUAAGACCCUAACAUACUCUCCAUGACAAUGCAGGUUUGAUCCCUGGCCUCGCUCAGUGGAUUAAGGAUCCGAAGUUGCUGCCAGCUGUGGCUUAGGUCACAGAUAAGGCUCAGUGUUGCUGUGGCUGUGGUGUAGGCUGGCAGUUUCAGAUUCAGUUCAACUCUGGGCCUGGGAACUUCCAUAUGCUGCACAUGUGGCCAUAAAAGAAGAAAGGAAAGGAAAAAGGAUUUGAGAAGAAACACGAAGAAUGGGAGGGACUGAGCUGUGCAGUUAUCUUGGGGACGAUGCAUCCCAGGCAGUGAGACAAACCAGUGCAAAGGCCCCGUGGCAGGUGCAGGCCUGGCCUGUCAGAGAGUCGGCAGGGGGGCCAGAGUGUUUGGAGUGAAGCGAGUGUAGGGGGAAAUGAAGAGAGGAAGCCAGGAAGCCGGGGGUCAGAUUGCCAAGGGUUUGCAGGGCUGAUGGAAGACUUAAAACCCCUCUCUAGGGAAAAUGAGGAGCUGUGCAGGGUGAGGGACAGGAUAGGACUUGGGUUUUUAUUUUUAUUUUUUGUCUUUUUAGGGCUGUACCUGCGGCAUAUGGAGGUUCCCAGGCUAGGGGGCGAAUCAGAGCUGCAGCUGCCAGCUUACACCACAGCCACAGCAACGCCAGAUCUGAGCUGUGUCCGCAACCUACACCAUAGCUCGUGACACAUCCUUAACCCUCUGAGUGAGGCCAGGGAUCGAACCUGCAUCCUCAUAGAUACUAGUCAGGUUCAUUACUGCUGAGCCACUAUAGGAACUCUGGGACUCAGGUUUUUAAAGGAUCCCUCUGGAUGCUGCGGUGAGAGCCCUGAGGGGCCAGGGAAGGAGGAGGGAGACAGUUGUGAGCAAGAGGUGAGGAUGGCGUGGAUUAGGAGGGGGCAUAGCUGAGGGGGGACAGGGUUGCCUGGGGCUCCUCUGUCUCAAGCCCUGAGUUCAAGGAAAGGCACCUGCGGAGGCCCAGUCUGGCCUCCCUGGCGAGGCUGUGGUCUUCUCUCUUCUCUCCCUCGGGCUGUGCUCCUCUUGGCUGGUCACUCAAAAGCGGCAGUUCUGGGUUUCACCUCCCGUCCUGAUGGGCCCUGGAGCCUCGCUUCCCCAUCAGACACUCCUGGGUGAGCCUGACUCCCUGAAAAUCUGCUCACACCUCUUCUUUGAGCAGCUCUGUCCAUUCCCUUCCACAUCCCCCUUCGUGCCCGCUUUCGGGAUUUCCCUUCUGUAGUCGGAGAGACGGUGCCCACGCUCCUUAGAGGGCCGGCAGGUUGGCUGAUUCUGCACUUCACGCACACACCCGUGCACACACCCGUGCACACACCGCAAUCAACUCCUGUGCGAUCUUGUACCUCCAAGUGUUACAAGCCCCGGCAAGACGGUGAGCUAAUUAGAGAAAAAUCUUAAUUAUAGCCACAGACACUGUUAUUAUCCUGUAAUCCUUUCCCACAGACCGUAAACUCUUCCAGUGUCAAAGGCCAGUAUUUGUGGAUUUACUUCAGAUUUUUAUCUCCAGCGCGUGAUAAAUUCAGAGCCAGGAUCUCAAUUGACUCCCGUGAGACCUCGGGCUUCUACCAAAGCGUCUCCAUUUGCCUGUCUUUCAACAUCUUCUUCCGGCCCUCAAUUUCAGGAGAAUGUGUCAUCACCUUCUUUUUGAGAUGCGCGUUACUAUUUGGUGCUUCUCUUUCACUUUCUUACUUUCAUUGCCUGCCAAGUCCGUCAUGCAAAAUUUAAAAAAUUAUACAUUUACUCAAGUUGGGAUAAAGACGAAGUAUGAGCUCUAUGCUCAUGACUCGGAUUAGUGGGUGGCGAAGGUGUUCUCCAAGUUGUCAGGAGUAGGGUUUUUAAAUGAAAAUGUUGUCUUUAAAACUCAUUUUAGGAAUUCCCAUCGUGGCACAACAGAAACGAAUCUGGCUAGGAACCAUGAGGCUGUG
ensembl:lncRNA